rnacentral:misc_RNA from 1 species
AGAAGUAAGGAACGUGUAGGGAAGUUGCCCUAAAAGAAAGUUUUCACGUUGAGCAACAAAGAAAAUUUGUGUUCCAAAAAGAUGCGCAUCAAACUAUUGAACUUUAUAUACAGCAUAAAACGCCUGUAAGGCUGUAAGUAUCAUUGGCAUGGCCAGAAAAAACAACCAUACAAGAUUUCUGAUUUGAGAUAUCUAUUUGAUUAGCAUGCGCAGAUAAAUUUUUCUGCUGUUUCAUUUCAUGCAUAUGCUUAACCAGACAGCUUCUUCAUUACCCUCUCUCAGUACCAACGGUGUAGAAACUAGAAAAGCGCGUAUCAAGAACCUAUUUAAAUUUCUUGAGAUGAUCGUUCCCGUUGCCUGCGCAUUCGAGCUGCCCACGACAAGUUUCCCUCUGCAUCCUUGUUCAUGCUUCUU